rnacentral:rRNA from 1 species
ACCCCGUCAAUUCAUUUGAGUUUUAGUCUUGCGACCGUACUCCCACAGGCGGGAUGCUUAACGCGUUAGCUUCGCUACUAACCGGGUCGAUACGGUUAACAGCUAGCAUCCAUAGUUUACGGCGUGGACUACCGGGGUAUCUAAUCCCGUUUGCUCCCCACGCUUUCGUGCCUUAGUGUCAGGAAUGAGCCAGUCGCCUGCCCUACGCCAUCGGUAUUCCUCCCUAUAUCUACGGAUUUCACUCCUACACAGGGAAUUCUAGCGACCUCUCUCAUCCUCUAGCUCCGCAGUUUUGGUAAUGGAUAUGGGGUUGAGCCCCACGCUUUCACUACCAACUUACGAUGCCACCUACGCAACUCUUUACGCCCAGUAAUUCCGGAUAACGCUUGGAUCCUCCGUAUGACCGCGGCUGCUGGCACGGAGUUAGCCGAUCCUUAUUCAUAUGCUACCGUCAUAAUCGUCGCAUAUAAAAGCAGUUUACAACCCGAAGGCAUUCAUCCUGCACGCGGCGUUGCUCCAUCAGACUUUCGUCCAUUGUGGAAAAUUCCCCACUGCUGCCUCCCGUAGGAGUCUGGGCCGUUCUCAGUCCCAGUCUGGCUGAUCAUCCUCUCAGACCAGCUACCGAUCGUCGCCUUGGUGAGCUAUUACCUCACCAACAAGCUAAUCGGACGCAGGCCGUUCCCAAACCGCCGAAGCUUUACUCCGAAGAGCACAUGCGGUAUUAGACACCAUUUCUGGUGCUUAUCCCUCAGUUUGGGGUACGUUCCUACGUGUUACUCAGCCGUCCGCCGCUCGUGUACCCCCGAAGGGGCCUUACCGCUCGACUUGCAUGUGUUAGGCACGCCGCCAGCGUUCAUCCUGAGCCAGAAUCAAACUCU